GGAGAGAUGGCAGAGUGGACGAAUGCGGCGGUCUCGAAAACCGUUGUCCCGCCUUGCGGGACCGGGGGUUCGAAUCCCCCUCUCUCCG
rnacentral:tRNA from 1 species